rnacentral:rRNA from 1 species
GAAUUUUGGACAAUGGGGGCAACCCUGAUCCAGCCAUCCCGCGUGUGCGAUGAAGGCCUUCGGGUUGUAAAGCACUUUUGGCCGGGAAGAAAAGGCUCUGGCUAAUACCUGGAGCUGCUGACGGUCCCUGCAGAAUCAGCACCGCCUAACUCCUUCCCCGCAGCCGCGGUAAUACGUAGGGUGCAAGCGUUAAUCGGAAUUACUGGGCGUAGAGCGUGCGCAGGCGGUUCGGCAAGAAGGAUGUGAAAUCCCAGGGCUUAACCUUGGAACUGCAUCCUUAACUGCCGGGCUAGAGUAUGUCAGAGGGGGGUAGAAUUCCGCGUGUAGCAGUGAAAUGCGUAGAGAUGCGGAGGAAUACCGAUGGCGAAGGCAGCCCCCUGGGAUAAUACUGACGCUCAUGCACGAAAGCGUGGGGAGCAAAC